UAACAGUCACUAGAAAAUAAGAAAGAAAACGGGCGUCAGUUUCAAAUCAGUCGGCGUCACGGAAAGGAAGCUUGACAGGGGAACCGAAACACUCCCGGGGAUGAGAUCAGAUGAGACCAAACGGGCCGAGCAGAGAAGGAAUCAGGCCCCACGGGCGGGGCCCCCGAAUGCGACGAGGCACCGCUCAAGUGGGCGCUGGGCGCAUCCGCCCCACAGGCCCGCCCGAUGGAUCGUCUGGUCUGGGUGAGCAGGGCUCGCCACAAGAGACACCAAUCAUUCAGCUCUUCUCCUUCUCCAUGGGGUUCAUUCACGCCGCAAGAAACCCACCAAUGAUUGGGGGACUCGCCUCACCCAGGGGCCAGGGCAUGCAGCAGUAGCAUGCUCUCAUAUGAUAAACUGGUAGGAGUAGUAUGGUUUCAUUGUUUUAAUGCAGGAUUCGUUGGAAAAUGGUCUGAGUUCUUGCCAGGAUUGGGGAGAUUAUAGACGUUCUGAGCUACUGUCAGAACUUGAAUUGCUCUGAAGUUAUGUUAUUAGUCAGGGUCGAUCUGACAUUCUCAUUGUGCUGGUUGCAGAAACCGAGUU
rnacentral:lncRNA from 1 species